rnacentral:tRNA from 1 species
GGCUUUGAAGUAUAUAUUACGUUGAAUUGCAAAUUCAAAGAAGUGGUUGUAGAGACCGCCGGGGCUU